rnacentral:rRNA from 1 species
CGGAGGUGGUGACAAUAAAUAUCAAUGCGGAGCCCUUUGGGUUUUGCAAUUGGAAUGAGAACAAUUUAAAUCCCUUAUCGAGGAUCAAUUGGAGGGCAAGUCUGGUGCCAGCAGCCGCGGUAAUUCCAGCUCCAAUAGCGUAUAUUAAAGUUGUUGCAGUUAAAAAGCUCGUAGUUGGAUUGGUGUUGGUUAUGUUUACUUGGGAAAUUCUCAAAGCGACGUUAACCAAUAUAUUUGGGAUUUGGUCUAGAAUGGCAUUCAGUUGUUGAUUUAGUUCCAGCCCAUCGUUUACUGUGAAAAAAUUAGAGUGUUCAAAGCAGGCUUAUGCCGUUGAAUAUAUUAGCAUGGAAUAAUGAUGUAGGACCUUGGUACUAUUUUGUUGGUUUGCGCACUAAGGUAAUGAUUAAGAGGGACAGUUGGGGGUAUUUGUAUUCCAUUGUCAGAGGUGAAAUUCUUGGAUUUCCGAAAGACGAACUACUGCGAAAGCAUUUACCAAGGAUGUUUUCAUUAAUCAAGAACGAAAGUUAGGGGAUCGAAGAUGAUUAGAUACCAUCGUAGUCUUAACCAUAAACUAUGCCGACUCAGGAUCCGCGAUUGUUUUUUGACGUCGUGGGCACUGUAUGAGAAAUCAAAGUCUUUGGGUUCCGGGGGGAGUAUGGUCGCAAGGCUGAAAUCCAUAU